rnacentral:rRNA from 1 species
CCUACGGGAGGCAGCAGUAGGGAAUUUUCGUCAAUGGGCGCAAGCCUGAACGAGCAAUGCCGCGUGAACGAUGAAGGUCUUCGGAUCGUAAAGUUCUGUUGAAGGGGAAAAAGAGCGGAGAGAGGAAAUGGUCUCCGAUUGAUAUUACCCUUCGAGGAAGUCACGGCUAACUACGUGGCAGCAGCCGCGGUAAUACGUAGGUGGCGAGCGUUAUCCGGAAGGAGUGGGCGUAAAGGGUGCGUAGGCGGCCUGCUAAGGCUAGUGUGAUAGGUACCGGCUCACACGGUGCAGGCUAUGGAAACUGGUGGGCUAGAGAGCAGGAGAGGGCAGUGGAACUCCAUGUGUAGCGGUGAAAUGCGUAGAUAGAUGGAAGAACACCAGUAGCGAAGGCGGCCGACUGGCAUGGUACUGACGCUGAGGCACGAAAGCGUGGGGAGCAAAUAGGAUUAGAUACCCUAGUAGUC